CUACGGGUUGCUGCAGUGGGGAAUAUUGCACAAUGGGCGCAAGCCUGAUGCAGCAACGCCGCGUGAGGGAUGAAGGCCUUCGGGUUGUAAACCUCUUUUAGCAGGGAAGAAGCGAAAGUGACGGUACCCGCAGAAAAAGCACCGGCUAACUACGUGCCAGCAGCCGCGGUAAUACGUAGGGUGCAAGCGUUGUCCGGAAUUAUUGGGCGUAAAGAGCUCGUAGGCGGUUUGUCACGUCUGCUGUGAAAAUCCAAGGCUCAACCUUGGACUUGCAGUGGGUACGGGCAGGCUAGAGUGCGGUAGGGGAGAUGGGAAUUCCUGGUGUAGCGGUGGCAUGCGCAGAUAUCAGGAGGAACACCAAUGGCGAAGGCACAUCUCUGGGCCGUAACUGACGCUGAGGAGCGAAAGCGUGGGGAGCGAACAGGAUUAGAUACCCUAGUAGUC
rnacentral:rRNA from 1 species